UUAAACCUUCAAAUGCUGUUAUCUUUAAGAAAUUACAGGAUAUCCUGCUUCCCCUGACCCCUGUGAAGACAGGUGAUGGGUUUCAUUAUGCAUCAUCCCACACCAGUGAACUCUGUUUACUUUGCAACAAUAGAUAAUAUCAUACAGUAUUAUGGCAUAUUUCCACCUGAAACUUACCCCAUUGUUUUACCAUAAAGGCUCAACCUUUUGUGUUUCCACCUCCACGGCCCAGCUCCAGUGUCUCACAGGGUCAUGGCCUCAGUGGACCUGCUCUGACUUAGGGCCAAGGCCAGGCCACUGGUACUUUUCAGCUGGCAUUUACAUAACAAUGGCUAAGAAACUCACAAAGGGGUGGCAGGUAGCCCAGUGGUUAGAGUGUUGGACUAGUAACCGAAAGGUUACAAGAUUGAAUCCCUGAGCUGAUAAGGUAAAAAUCUGUCGUUCUACCCCUGAACGAGGCAGUUAACCCACUGUUCCUAGGCUGUCAUUGAAAAUAAAAAUGUAUUCCUAACUGACUUGCCUAGUUAAAUAAAGGUAAAAAAGCAACUGUCUUGAUAAUGCAGAGGUUGUUUAUUCUGCUCGCCCCAAGUCUUUAGUGUCACACUCCUGAUGGAAACAAAACCAUUAGAGCUGACAUUAACAUAAACACUGGUGUGGGGUAAGUAUUGGUUGGAAAUUCCCCAUGUAAGUCACAUGCCAUUGGUGCUUAUACAGAACAAACCAAACAUCUCCAAUAGUAUGUUUACAUAGUAAUCAAGCAUCGUAUAGUGCUGUGUCAUGUACGGUAAGAGGACAUUUCAGGGAGUAAUGUGUCAUUAUAGUCCCGGCUACAGGAGAGACUGGGGGGUCUUACCAGCACCUCUCGGUCAGAGGAGAGUAACAGUGUGGGAAGGUUUGACGGAGACAGCACCACGUCAGAGACAGGAAGUCUUACUACCAACACACCCAGAAGGGCAUGGACGCCAUCUAACCUGAACAGUCCUGAGACUUUGGACAUUGGCUCGCACCUCACCACCCACACACAGCACCUGAUCCCAGACCUGUUGGAGGAUGUUGUGGAUGGAGAACCUGGCUGUGUUCUCACCUGCUCCACUUAUCCUGGACCAGCUGGGGAGCCUAGCCAACAGGAGGAGGAGAAUCCUGGACCAGCUGGGGAGCCUAGCCAACAGGAGGAGGAGGAUCCUGGACCAGCUGAGGAGCCUAACCAACAGGAGGAGGAGGAUCCUGGACCAGCUGGGGAGCCUAGCCAACAGGAGGAGGAGGAUCCUGGACCAGCUGAGGAGCCUAGCCAACAGGAGGCGGAGAAUCCUGGACCAGCUGUGGAACUUAGCCAACAGGAGGAGGAGAAUCCUGGGCCAGCUGGGGAGCUUAGCCANNNNNNNNNNCACAUUUCAGGCUUCAAACAUAAAGAUAUAAAACUGUAUUUUUUUGUGAAGAAUCAACAACAAGUGGGACACAAUCAUGAAGUGGAACGACAUUUAUUGGAUAUUUCAAACUUUUUUAACAAAUCAAAAACUGAAAAAUUGGGCGUGCAAAAUUAUUCAGCCCCCUUAAGUUAAUACUUUGUAGCGCCACCUUUUGCUGCGAUUACAGCUGUAAGUCGCUUGGGGUAUGUCUCUAUCAGUUUUGCACAUCGAGAGACUGACAUUUUUUCCCAUUCCUCCUUGCAAAACAGCUCAGUGAGGUUGGAUGGAGAGCAUUUGUGAACAGCAGUUUUCAGUUCUUUCCACAGAUUCUCGAUUGGAUUCAGGUCUGGACUUUGACUUGGCCAUUCUAACACCUGGAUAUGUUUAUUUUUGAUUUUGCUUUAUGUUUUGGAUCAUUGUCUUGUUGGAAGACAAAUCUCCGUCCCAGUCUCAGGUCUUUUGCAGACUCCAUCAGGUUUUCUUCCAGAAUGGUCCUGUAUUUGGCUCCAUCCAUCUUCCCAUCAAUUUUAACCAUCUUCCCUGUCCCUGCUGAAGAAAAGCAGGCCCAAACCAUGAUGCUGCCACCACCAUGUUUGACAGUGGGGAUGGUGUGUUCAGGGUGAUGAGCUGUGUUGCUUUUACGCCAAACAUAACGUCUUGCAUUGUUGCCAAAAAGUUCAAUUUUGGUUUCAUCUGACCAGAGCACCUUCUUCCACAUGUUUGGUGUGUCUCCCAGGUGGCUUGUGGCAAACUUUAAACGACACUUUUUAUGGAUAUCUUUAAGAAAUGGCUUUCUUCUUGCCACUCUUCCAUAAAGGCCAGAUUUGUGCAAUAUACGACUGAUUGUUGUCCUAUGGNNNNNNNNNNGGGGAAGGUGGGUCUCUGCUGGGCUGUGGCCCGUCCUUCAUACCUCCUGAGCUUUCCCCUCUCUGUCCCAGAGUCCCAGGGGGGGUUGAAGAUUAUGU
rnacentral:lncRNA from 13 species